CUCCUCGAGCCGGAUUUGAACCAGCGACCUAAGGAUCACCGUUGUAGCAUCUACAGUCCUCCGCUUUGCCAACUGAGCUAUCGAGAGA
rnacentral:tRNA from 1 species